UGAUACGAAUAAGUCUCUGAAGGUCUUAGAGGCUACAUGGAGGUCAAGGUCAGGCAAUGGAAAAUACGUUCUUCCAUGGAUAUGCAGUAUAUUAGUGAACCACAGUCACUAUGUAAUAUCUUAGGAGCCUUCUGCAUGUAUGCUUGAUACCUUAUGCGAGAUGACAAAGUCCAAAUGUGCAGCUAUUCAACCUCUAUUACAGUUGUCUGGCCGUCUGCAGCUCAUCAUGGCACAGGUCAAGAGCUUCUUUCUU